GCAGCAUCUUGCCCAUGUCGUUGCACGCAUUGUCGCGAGCCUCGUCCAUGCGCACGGCGUUCUCCGGAGCCGAGAACGCCUGGAUCACCUCGGCCAGGACCACUGUGCGGCAGAUGAAUCCCAGGCAGGAGUCCCGGAUUUGUGAAUGUUUGAUACAAGUCUAUGCAAAUGAGUCGAUGCCGAUUGGCUGAGAAAGAAGCCAGACACUCCCCUUUAGUUUUUAAGAAGCAAGACAGAGCUUCGCAGCAAUAAAAACUGGGCGCUAAAUCAGCUCUUGUGCUUUCCUAAAA